AUUGAACGCUGGCGGCAGGCUUAACACAUGCAAGUCGAGCGGGGUGAUGGUGCUUGCACUAUCACUUAGCGGCGGACGGGUGAGUAAUGCUUAGGAAUCUGCCUAUUAGUGGGGGACAAUAUCUCGAAAGGGAUGCUAAUACCGCAUACGUCCUACGGGAGAAAGCAGGGGAUCACUUGUGACCUUGCGCUAAUAGAUGAGCCUAAGUCGGAUUAGCUAGUUGGUGGGGUAAAGGCCUACCAAGGCGACGAUCUGUAGCGGGUCUGAGAGGAUGAUCCGCCAAACUGGGACUGGAACACGGCCCAGACUCCUACGGGAGGCAGCAGUGGGGAAUAUUGGACAAUGGGGGGAACCCUGAUCCAGCCAUGCCGCGUGUGUGAAGAAGGCCUUAUGGUUGUAAAGCACUUUAAGCGAGGAGGAGGCUCUUUUGGUUAAUACCCAAGAUGAGUGGACGUUACUCGCAGAAUAAGCACCGGCUAACUCUGUGCCAGCCGCCGCAGUAA
rnacentral:rRNA from 1 species